UACGAAGGGGGCGAGCGUUGUUCGGAAUUACUGGGCGUAAAGGGCGCGCAGGCGGCUCUGAAAGUCAGAUGUGAAAGCCCCGGGCUUAACCUGGGAAUUGCAUUUGAUACUCUGGAGCUUGAGUACGGGAGAGGAGAGUGGAAUUCCCAGUGUAGAGGUGAAAUUCGUAGAUAUUGGGAAGAACACCGGUGGCGAAGGCGGCGACCUGGUCCUUGACUGACGCUGAGGCGCGAAAGCGUGGGGAGCAAACAGG
rnacentral:rRNA from 1 species